CAGAUACUCCCUCCGUCCGGAAAUACUUGUCAUCAAAAUGGAUAAAAAGAGGUGUAUCUAGAACUAAAAUACAUCUAGAUACAUCCCUUUUUAUUCAUCUUGAUGACAAGUAUUUCCGGACGGAGGGAGUACUAU
rnacentral:pre_miRNA from 1 species